rnacentral:rRNA from 1 species
GUGAGGAAUUUUCCGCAAUGGGCGAAAGCCUGACGGAGCAAUGACGCGUGAAGGAUGAAGGCCUAUGGGUUGUAAACUUCUUUUCUCAGAAAAGAAUUAUGACGGUAUCUGAGGAAUAAGCAUCGGCUAACUCUGUGCCAGCAGCCGCGGUAAGACAGAGGAUGCAAGCGUUAUCCGGAAUGAUUGGGCGUAAAGCGUCUGUAGGUUGUUUAAAAAGUAUUCUGUCAAAGAUUAGGGCUUAACCCUAGAUAGGCAGAAUAAACUUUUAAGCUAGAGUUUGGUAGAGGCAGAGGGAAUUCCCGGUGGAGCGGUGAAAUGCGUAGAUAUCGGGAGGAACACCAAAGGCGAAGGCACUCUGCUGGGCCAAUACUAACACUGAGAGACGAAAGCGAGGGGAGCAAAUGGGAUUAGAAACCCUAGUAGUCC